rnacentral:rRNA from 1 species
AGGGGCAGCAUGAACUAGCAAUAGUUUGAUGGCGACCGGCAAACGGGUGCGGAACACGUACACAACCUUCCUUUAAGUGGGGAAUAGCCCAGAGAAAUUUGGAUUAAUACCCCGUAACACAACGAAGUGGCAUCACUUUGUUGUUAUAGUUUCGGCGCUUAAUGAUGGGUGUGCGUAUGAUUAGAUAGUUGGCGAGGCAACGGCUCACCAAGUCUACGAUCAUUAGCUGAUGUGAGAGCAUGAUCAGCCACACGGGCACUGAGACACGGGCCCGACUCCUACGGGAGGCAGCAGUAAGGAAUAUUGGUCAAUGGACGCAAGUCUGAACCAGCCAUGCCGCGUGAAGGAUUAAGGUCCUCUGGAUUGUAAACUUCUUUUAUAUGGGACGAAAAAAGGUCUUUCUAGACCCCUUGACGGUACCAUAUGAAUAAGCACCGGCUAACUCCGUGCCAGCAGCCGCGGUAAUACGGAGGGUGCAAGCGCUAUCCGGAUUCACUGGGUUUAAAGGGCGCGUAGGCGGGUAGGUAAGUCAGUGGUGAAAUCCUGGAGCUCAACUCCAGAACUGCCAUUGAUACUAUCUAUCUUGAAUAUUGAGGAGGUAAGCGGAAUAUGUCAUGUAGCGGUGAAAUGCUUACAUAUGACAUAGAACACCCUUUGCGAAGGCAGCUUACUACGCAUAUAUUGACGCUGAGGCACGAAAGCGUGGGGAUCAAACAGGAUUA